UCCAAGAAAUUGGGGCUAAUACCGGAUAUGUCCGCUGACCGCAUGGGUGGUGGUGGAAAGGGUUUCCGGCUGGGGAUGGGCCCGCGGCCUAUCAGGCUUGUUGGUGGGGUAGUGGCCUACCAAGGCGACGACGGGUAGCCGGCCUGAGAGGGUGACCGGCCACACUGGGACUGAGACACGGCCCAGACUCCUACGGGAGGCAGCAGUGGGGAAUAUUGCGCAAUGGGCGAAAGCCUGACGCAGCGACGCCGCGUGGGGGAUGACGGCCUUCGGGUUGUAAACCUCUUUCAGCAGGGACGAAGCGCAAGUGACGGUACCUGCAGAAGAAGCGCCGGCCAGCUACGUGCCAGCAGCCGCGGUAAUAGGUAGGGUGCAAGCGUUGUCCGGAAUUAUUGGGCGUAAAGAGCUCGUAGGCGGUUCGUCGCGUCGGCUGUGAAAACCUGAGGCUCAACCUCAGGCCUGCAGUCGAUACGGGCGGACUUGAGUUCGGCAGGGGAGACUGGAGUUCCUGGUGUAGCGGUGAAAUGCGCAGAUAUCAGGAGGAACACCGGUGGCGAAGGCGGGUCUCUGGGCCGAAACUG
rnacentral:rRNA from 1 species